GUCGGUGAAGGGCAGGCCGUGCUCAGCGAGCUGCGCAGCCUGGAGGCGGCGCCCGCGCGGUGCGGGGUGUGAGCGCUUCUCGGUGAGCGGCCCGCGUGCCGCGGGGCGGGGGCGGCGGCGGGGUGCUGCCCUCGGGCAGGCCCGCACCGACUCCCGACUGGCCACCGAUUUGCUGUGUCCUUGGCACAAAUGAGAGAAACGAGAGCUACUUUGGAGUUGUCAGGAGGCUUGAACAAGAUAACGACGCAAAUAGAAGCCUCUGGAACAGAAGCGAAGGUGGGACAGUGAAGCUUCAACAAGAAGACAGCAAACCAGGGAGGGACUGUCACCGGACACUAGAUCUGCUCCAGCCUCCAGAACUGAGAAAGGAGACGACACUGGUUACCCUGCUCUGCCCCGGGUGAGACAUUUCCUGUGCUCUCACAGCUCCCUGUCAACAUCUCCGCCUUGCUGCACAGCUGCAGAGCCAGGCAGCCUCCUGGGUGCUGCCUGCUUCACCUCUGCUCCACUCCCAAACGCCUGGCGUGACACUGGACAUACCGUGGGAACUCAGUGAGUCAUGAAUGAAGGAAAGACAUUCCUAUAUCAUUUCUGGCACAGUAGGAACUUCAUGGCACAAUCUUCUUAUCAAGUGGAAACCUCUUUCUCUCCUUAAGAUGUCGUUUGUAUGUAGUGGUGGGAAAGAGAUUGUAUUUAAAAGCAAGGGAACCAGAC
rnacentral:lncRNA from 1 species